AGCAUAGACACACAGGCAGACAGCUCUAAUAGUGUCUGUGUGUGUGUGCGUGUGUGUUUGCCUAGCAAACUAAUUAGUAAAGUUCUACAAGGAAAAAUAAUGGCAAAUACUUUCAACAAAUGUGUUACAAUUCGUGUAUUUGUUUUGACUAAAGCGCACAGAAUUUGUAAGUCGAAAAAAACUAUUCUAGACAGCGGCAUAGUUUAAAAGAUAUACAAAAAAAUAGAGUCUAUGGAAAAGGAAACCACAAAAUAGAUAUCCAUAAGCUAAAGAACCCUUCAGCUCAACAAAUUGAAAGCUAUACGAAACGCAUAAAUUUCUGCCGCAAAACUCAUAAACUUAUGUCGAAAAGUUUAUUAUGAAAUGUUUUGGAUAUAUUUAUAUGAAACGCAGCUGCAAACGAAAUUCGCAUAGAACACAAAGCAAAGCAAAGGGAAACAAAAUCAAAUCAUAAACUACAAAGUAGAUCUGAAGCAUCCAAAAAGCAAACAACAGCAAAAAGGAAACUUUUAAUAGAGAUCGUGAUGUAAUAAAUUUCAAAUGGAACAACAACUGCUAACCAUGAGCUAUGAAUAUAGUGAAUAAUAUCGAGCCACAGAUAGUAUUAUUAUUUCAGCAAUCGCAGAGCCUCAACAAACGAUCGUAAAUAAUCAAACAUGAACUGACAAAUCAGCAAGAAGAAGACAAAAAGAGUCGAGCUCUAUAGGUGCUAUGCACAAAUGGGUCUAGGUAGUUGCCAGGGUCAAUGGAUUUGGUUUCCCUCUGCACACAAGUGGAAAAUUAGUUAGAGAGGAGCAAGAGCAACAGCAGCAACAACAACAACAAUAUACAACAAAUUUGAAAUAAGUGAGCUUUUGUUUUCCAUUGAAAUUUGGCGGCUUUUGGUUAUUUGAUCUUUUUUUUAACAAACCUAACAACAA